UACGGAGGGGGCUAGCGUUGUUCGGAAUUACUGGGCGUAAAGCGCACGUAGGCGGCUUUGUAAGUUAGAGGUGAAAGCCCAGGGCUUAACUCUGGAAUUGCCUUUAAGACUGCAUCGCUAGAAUCGUGGAGAGGUGAGUGGAAUUCCGAGUGUAGAGGUGAAAUUCGUAGAUAUUCGGAAGAACACCAGUGGCGAAGGCGACUCACUGGACACGUAUUGACGCUGAGGUGCGAAAGCGUGGGGAGCAAACAGGGAUUAAGAAACCCU
rnacentral:rRNA from 1 species